rnacentral:misc_RNA from 1 species
GGAAGUAAAAGUCUAACAAGGUUUCCGUAGGUGAACCUGCGGAAGGAUCAUUAUUGUAUAACCGAGGUGCGAGGGCUGUCGCUGACCCGAAAGGUCGUGCACGCCCGAGUGCCCUCACACACAUCCAUCUCACCCCUAUGUGCACCACCGCGUGGGUCCCCCUUUGGCUUGUUCGGAGGGGGGCUUACGUUUUCACACAAACUUUGUAUGCAGUGUAGAAUGUAUUUUUUGUUUUUGCGAUCACGCAAUCAAUACAACUUUCAACAACGAAUCUCUUGGCUCUC